UCUCUCCCUCUCUCGCUCUCUCUCAUGAUUAUUAUUUGCUACCGGAACAAAUUACUGAAAUUUCUUGGAAGAUUGUUCCCCAAUCUUUCGCAUUAUUUUGCCUGCUGCUUUUACUUAGUUUCUUCUCUAUUCUCCCUCUCUCUCUCUUUCUGUCGAUCGUUCUUUCUCUCUAUUCGGUAUAUAGAGAUGUACGUAAAUUAUAUUUAAAUAAAUAUGUAUGUAUACAUAUAUGAAAUAUCUUGACAAAUACAUAACUAGACACUGAGUAAACAGCAAUUUCCGUAGAAUUGUGUGGCCUGAAACUUUUGUGCAGAUCGGGCAGAAAUUCAAACUGCAACGACGCCACAAUUCUUAAACAAUCAGACGACGGCUUUUGAAAGACGCGGCUUGUUGGUGCGGGGGUGAGGUGGGGUAAGGCGGGUGUACAAAUUAUUGUAUAAAUCAGCAGAAAAAGGCAACGAGCCGAACAAAAAAUAAAAAUAAUAAACCUUAAUUCGAAGCUUCGAGCUUGAUUCAUUCAUACCCAUACAACUACACAAAUGUAUACAAUAAGCGUGAUCGAAGUGGAGAGAGGAGUGACAGGGUAGCGGGCAGAGGGGAGAGUGAACUGCCAAUUGAGCUAUGAAAACCGAUCAAAACGGUCCGGUCCCAAUUGAAAUUGUUUCCAGGCACGAGCAAUGACACAAAAUGAUAUCCGAAAAGUGACCGAAAAACCAAACCAAGCCCACAAACUAACAAAAUUGCAAUCCACCAAUCACAAGCUGGAAGACAGGCGGACAGGAGAAAGAGGCCCAAGCUUCAGCAACAGCUUCAGCUACAGUCACAGUUCCAGUCAAAAUGCCACAGAAAGUCGUGCACUGGCAAUAAUCAUUGCUUGGAGGAUGGAUGUAUAAAUGUAGAGCGAGGGAAAGAGGAUGAAAGGGAGAGAGAGGCUACAACUCCUCGACGGGCUUUUGCUCUUCUCUGACUCUAUUUUGUCGGCGAACAUGGAUCUAGUGCACGGUUGCUCAUGAUUAAGUUCGUGACUAGAUUUCAUGCUCGUCUAUUAAGUUGGGUCAACACACACAACAUGGCCAAUUGCAGCCAUGGCUAAGAGGAGAGCAGCAGCCCAAGUAGAGUUGCCAUUAGGCAUUUAUCGAGAGUCGUCAAUUAGCCAAAUACGAGUACUUAAUGCUUGAUCUGCUUAUAAAACAAUUUGUGCUAAUGCCCUGCAGAUACACAUAUAUGUAUGUACAUAUGUAGACUACUCAUAAAUGUGAAGCCCUUGUUUGUUAAAGAACGGCAGAAAUUAAUGAUUAUAUUACUUGCUUCUGACCCGUGACCCACAUAAUGACAGAGAACCCGCCCGCAGCAACAGUCGCUGCCAAAAAUACAGAAGAUGCAGCAGAUACGGGAAAAAAAGUCUAAACUCAUUUCAGUUGGCGAACAAAACGAGGCCCGGAACACCUUUCAACCCUGACGCGCUUCAGUCUCUUUCCCCUCUGUACCUUUGGAGUUGUUGUUAUUGCCGGAAUCGCAUUUCUAGCUUCACGCACUGGAAUCCAAUAAAACAAAAACAAAAUAGA